AUUGAACGCUGGCGGCAGGCCUAACACAUGCAAGUCGAGCGAGCGGCGGACGGGUGAGUAAUGUAUGGGGACUGCCCGAUAGAGGGGGAUAACUACUGAAAACGGUGGCUAAUACCGCAUACUAGCGGAUAACCCAUAUGGGAUUAGCUCGUAGGUGGGGUAAAGUGUCACAGAGGCGACGAUCUCUAGCUGGUCUGAGAGGAUGACCAGCCACACGUGGACUGAGACACGGCCCAGACUCCUCCGGAGGCAGCAGUGGGGAAUAUUGCACAAUGGGCGCAAGCCUGAUGCAGCCAUGCCGCGUGUAUGAAGAAGGCCUUAGGGUUGUAAAGUACUUUCAGCGGGGAGGCGUUACCCGCAGAAGAAGCACCGGCUAACUCCGUGCCAGCAGCCGCGGUAAUUC
rnacentral:rRNA from 1 species